GUUGUGACCCAGAUGCAGAGGAAGCAAGAUAGCAAGAUGUGACUGCCUCGCCGAAAAAGAUCAGAACCCAGAUACCGACUUUCUACAGGAUGUUGAAAAAUCAAUGCAGAUUUCAUCUGCAUUUCUCUGAUGGCUAAGGAUGCUGAAAAUUAUAUACGUGCCCUGCACUGUGGCCUUGGCAGGACUGACCUCAUCUCUGCUAACCUUCGCUCAUUCAAGUCCACUCCAGACGCUCUGACUCCCUGCUGUGACUCCAAGCACCAAGUAAACUUCUGCUUCAGGUCUUCUCAACAUCUUCACCAACCUCAGAAGAUCCCUUGGCAGGGUUUUCUGUAGCUCAUCCCUUUAAUCUAUGCAGAUUUGCAAAUCUGUUUUUGCAGCUGGGAUGAGAAGUCCCUGAAAGUACCACCACCCCUCGUGCUUUUUGGACUAGGAUAAAAAUGAGCUGGAAGUAAACCAGCUCUGGAGAAGUCUAUGUUUUUCUGAUCAUAUGGGCAUCCCACACAAGGUGCUCUGGCUACAAGUACCUCUGGGUCCCUUAAGAAAAGCAAAUACACUCAAGAGGCAUUAUGGGGUUGAGGGCAAUCCGGGCUACAUAUAUAGACAGCAUAAAUUGGACCUGAUGGGUUUUAAUAAGAAGAGGGCAUGAAGUUGGGUGGGUAAGGAAGGGGGUGGUGGAUCUGGGAGGAGUCAGGAGAGCAUAGGUGAAUAGGAUGAAAAUGCUGUAUGAAAUACUCAAAUAACUAAUGACACACCCACAUAAAAACUAGAUGAGUUAAUGCCUGGGAGGUAGAGAAACAAAUGAAGGUAACAUCUGGCGGAAUAUAACUAUUUCUUUUAAAUUAGCCGUACAGAUAAUCCUUAAGCUUACAUUAGACUAUAAAUUAGCAAUCCACUUUGUAAGUUCUUGGGUAAUCACUAAUAUAGAAUACAAGAGUACAUCUUUCAAACAAACAGGGAAAGUACCAUGGAACACAUGACAAAGCCAGAACUAUCAACACUAUGGUGGUUUGCAGGAGAAUGUGUCCCAUAGCCUCAGGUGUUUCAAUACUCGGCCCCAGUUGGUGGUGCUGUUUGGGUAGAUUUAGGAAGUGUGGCCUUGCUGGAGGAAGUAUGUCACAGAGGGAAAACUUUGGGGCUUUCAAAUCUCACACCAUUCUGUAUUCACUCUCUUUACUUCACGCUUGCAGUUCAAGAUGAUGUGAAUCCCCAACUUCCUCCUCCUGUUGCCAGGCCUGUCACUGGCUGCCAUGUCUUCUUGCCAUGAUGGAACCACACUCUAGAACCAUAAGCCCAAAUAAACCCCUCAUUUUAUAACUAA